rnacentral:lncRNA from 1 species
UGAAUGAGUAAGUUGAAACGUGGUGAGUAGUUGAAAAGUUGAAACUUGAAAACCAGCUCGCAAGUAGUGUAUUAUAUAUAUUAGAUUACAUAGAUUGUAAUCACAAACUGAUGACCAGUGUAGUGGUUAAGAGGCUGCAGUUUUUCGGAAGGGGGCUGGGUUCGAGCCCCAGCGUGCGCAGAUGUGUGAGUGUGUUUACAUGUUUAAUAUUUGAAAGUUCAUAUCACGAUAAUAUCGAUAAUAUCGCGAUAUAUUGACCAUUUGAAGCAGGGUAUUGAACGAAAA